rnacentral:rRNA from 1 species
UACAGAGGUCUCAAGCGUUGUUCGGAUUCAUUGGGCGUAAAGGGUGCGUAGGCGGCGCGGUAAGUCGGAUGUGAAAUCUUGGAGCUUAACUCCGAAACUGCAUUCGAUACUGCCGUGCUUGAGGACUGGAGAGGAGACUGGAAUUUACGGUGUAGCGGUGAAAUGCGUAGAUAUCGUAAGGAAGACCAGUGGCGAAGGCGGGUUUCUGGACAGUUCCUGACGCUGAGGCACGAAGGCCAGGGGAGCAAACGGGG